rnacentral:ncRNA from 2 species
CUUGGAGAGCAUUCAAGGAAAAAGUCCAGAAAGUGCGCUGUCAGACCACGUCACUAAGAGUUUCAUCAAGCUCUUAGAGAUCGCUCCUGCAGGGCCCACUGCUGUGCUUUUCUGAAACAUCCAUUUAUUAACAGAGCCCCACUAUUUUAACAUGUUCCAGGCCCUAGCACAAAACACAGAUCUUAAAGAACGCUUACGCAGAAUCCAUGCCGAGUCUCUGCUCCUCGACUCCCCCGCUGUCGCCAAGUCGGGUGACAAUCUGGCAGAGGAAAACUCCAGAGAUGAAAACCGAGCUCUAGUUCAUCA